rnacentral:rRNA from 1 species
AUUGAACGCUGGCGGCAGGCCUAACACAUGCAAGUCGAACGAGAGGCGGACGGGGGAGUGAUGUCUGGGAAACUGCCUGAUGGAGGGGGAGAAAUACUGGAGACAGUAGCUACUACCGCAUACCAGAGGGUGUACCCAGAUGGGGUUAGCUAGUGGGUGGGGGAAUGGCUCACCUAGGCGACGAUCCCUAGCUGGUCUGAGAGGAUGACCAGCCACACUGGAACUGAGACACGGUCCAGACUCCUACGGGAGGCAGCAGUGGGGAAUAUUGCACAAUGGGCGCAAGCCUGAUGCAGCCAUGCCGCGUGUGUGAAGAAGGCCUUCGGGUUGUAAAGCACUUUCAGCGGGGAGGCGUUACCCGCAGAAGAAGCACCGGCUAACUCCGUGCCAGCAGCCGCGGUAAUUC